rnacentral:lncRNA from 1 species
UGAAAGUUAUCUUAUCUUCUUUAAAGAUAAACCUUCUCUUUAUUUUUAAUUAAUAUAUGUUUGAGAGUUUUCAAGUUCUAUCACUUCCAUCAAAUCACGAAUAGAGUUAAUUUUAAUUAUGUUUGAAUGUAAGUAUUUGUUUGUUUCUCUGCACAUAUAUUUGUUUGCUGUUACUAACCGUUUAAACAGGGCUCGUUGAACGUGUGACAUAACAGCAUACAACCAUCCGAGCUAGCUUAAAUCCGUAAUUAUUUGAGUUAAGGCGGUAAUAAUGGCAAUUAGUCCUGAACUAAUGGAACAAACAAUCUGAUUGACCAGUUCACGCAGAUGAACUCGACAACCUGAAUUGGGUCCUUCUAGUUUCUAAAGCCAGCGACAAAAUUAAAUCCCAAUGACGUUUCCUGGGUUAUUUGAUCAAUGAGAAUCAGUCAGUGAAAGUUUCCUAACUAGUUUAAGAAGGAUUGGUUGUCGAAACGUUUCCAACAGCUAGAACUAAUUUGCUGCAUUUUGACCUUAUUGAUUUUUACAUCAGUGAUCAAUUACACGAUUGGGGUUAGCUACUUCAUUAACUGAGAAUGCUUGCAUAAUUGAUUAAUUUACAAUUUCUCCCAACUGUUUUAUCACUUUAAAUAUAAACUUGUUUAAUUUAAGUAUUUUUACCAUCAUUUCCAUUCAAUAGAGAAAAAAAAUCCUUGUUUUAAUUCCUUUCAAGCUGGUCACAAAGAGGCAAGCAACCCUCAGUUCCCUUUGGAAUCGACACUAUUUACCAUUGUUAUAAUCUAGUGCUAUGAAGAAAUAAAAUUUUAUCUUUGGUAGUUUUGGCAACCAUCAGUGUGAGAUGGAGCGUAACACGCGCUCACAUGGAAAGAAAUUUUGGAAUAUAUAUAUAUAUAGAUAUAGUAAUUAGUGUUGAGUUCACUACGUUCAUUGAAGUAGCAAAGAGGUAAGAUUAAAUCAAGUAUAAUUUAUGAAUCAAGAGUAGAGAUUUAGAUAGGAAACUUAUGGGUUGAAAUUAUGCACAUUUUGUUGAGGUGUAUAAGAGCUAAAAAUCUAUUUAUAUUUUGCAACAUUCCUUUUAAAUUUUCAAUUGAAUAACAAUUGCAAGAAAAGAAAAAAAAUUUGAUACUAUCAAGCUGAACAGAUGAACAUGGUAGAAAAAUAUGCUUUUAAGUGUUUCUUUUCAAUCUUUUGCUUGAGAACAAGCAAUAAUUUAAGUUUGGGGGUAUUUGAUGUACUAUAUUUUAAUCAUAUUUUAGCACUCUUUUUAAUUAAUUUUGAAAGAAUUUUUUAAUAAAUGUUGAAUUAAAAAUUAAUUAAUUAGUAAAAUUUUAAUGCAGCUUAUAUUGGUGAAAAGAGAAAAACAUGCUAAAAAAAGGAAGAGAAAGAGAAGAAGAAGCUAAAAGCCAAGACUAUAGGAGUCUAAGCCCAAAUCUAGCAGCCCAUCCCAGCAGCCACAUUAAAAAAAGGCAAAAGCAGAAAGAGGCACGUGUGCCUCUAAAGAGAAAAAAAAAGAAGUAGCUGAAAGAAGAAAAAGUACACAGUAAAGAGGAAAUAAAGGAUGUUGAAAAGGAAAAUAAGGCAUGCAAAAACUUGAGCUCCUCUCCUCUUUUUGCCUAUAAAAAGAAAUCAGAUUUGAACAAAGUAGAAGAGGCAGCCAGUGGGUGAAACAAAAGGAGAAAGAAAAAAAAAACUUGUAGAAACUGACAAAUGGAGCUUAACACAGAAGCUUAUAGCAAUUUGCAGAAGUCAACAGCUUGCUGGUGAAGCAGAACAGAUUGCAGAGCUGAAUCACAGAAGCAGAAAGCAACAGCAGAGCGAAUUAAGUAAGAAGUAGAGACUUGGUGAAAGGGAGUGAAGCUAAAAAAUAUGGGGA